UGAACUUUUCUUAACGUCUUCUAGAGCAGAGCUGACCUGUUCCUCCUGAGCCUGGACCUGGGGUGGACUAUUUCAGAAAGUCUGGCCAGGUGUGAGCCAGCAGCUGCCUCCAAAAGGGAUGGAGGAGAUGAACCUGUGAUGGACAGAUCAUGCUUAGUGACCUCGAAAGUUUUUAGGAUGCCACUGUCUCUGCAUUAGUGCACUAUCUCGUACCUGGAAAAGCAUUACUUCACCAAGCCACCUGCACAAAAUCACAUCCAAGUGUUUCUUCCUUAAUAGCCCCACUUAAUCAGAUUUUCCACUCUUGAGCUGCUUCAGGUACUGUCUAAGGAGUAGCAGACACUGCUGUGCAACAGGGACUUGGACAGUGUCUUGCAGUGAACCUGUUGGUCUUGUGGUUUGUAUCCUGAAAUGAUUGUCUUUGCGUCUGAAAAAAAAGGAGCCCGUCAAUCUCAGCAGGUUACUAGAGGAAGAACAGGCCUGGCUUUGUUUUCAUCUGAGAAUACUUUCAUCUGAAGAUUUGGCCCAACCACUUCCCAUUGAGAUGAUUUCCCAGUUCUGUCCUAUGGGGAGAAAGGGUUUUGGCACCUCAACUCAUCCUGGAUAAAGGAGCUCUUAAAGACCACUAGCACUGGGGAAUGGACAGCUGGAGGUCCUUGGAAGAAAAUCGUGGCACAGUACAUGUUGAUGAUCAACCUGAGCACCCUGCCCUGUAUAGAUGGUAGAGAAAACAAGAUCCUGCCUGAGCAAUUAUAGGAAGUUAACAUAGAGAGAGGGUCCAUGGAGAAUCUAUA